rnacentral:misc_RNA from 1 species
UCCGGUUUGACACCGGCAGUCUCCUAUGAGUCCCCGACAUUACUCGCUGGCAACAUAGGACAGGGGUUGCGCUCGUUGCGGGACUUAACCCAACACCUCACGGCACGAGCUGACGACAACCAUGCAGCACCUGUGCUAGCCCCUUACGGACACGGGCUUUCACCCGCUUUAACUAGCGUGUCAAGGGUAGGUAAGGUUUUUCGCGUUGCAUCGAAUUAAUCCACAUAAUCCACCGCUUGUGCGGGUCCCCGUCAAUUCCUUUGAGUUUUAGUCUUGCGACCGUACUCCCCAGGCGGAGUGCUUAAUGCGUUAGCUGCGGCACAGAGAGGGUUGAAGACCUCCCCACACCUAGCACUCAACGUUUACGGCUGGGACUAC